rnacentral:rRNA from 1 species
UUUUGGACAAUGGGCGCAAGCCUGAUCCAGCAAUGCCGCGUACAGGAAGAAGGCCUUCGGGUUGUAAACUGCUUUUGUCAGGGAAGAAAUCUUCUGGGUUAAUACCUCGGGAGGAUGACGGUACCUGAAGAAUAAGCACCGGCUAACUACGUGCCAGCAGCCGCGGUAAUACGUAGGGUGCGAGCGUUAAUCGGAAUUACUGGGCGUAAAGCGUGCGCAGGCGGCUUUGCAAGACAGAUGUGAAAUCCCCGGGCUCAACCUGGGAACUGCAUUUGUGACUGCAAGGCUAGAGUACGGCAGAGGGGGAUGGAAUUCCGCGUGUAGCAGUGAAAUGCGUAGAUAUGCGGAGGAACACCGAUGGCGAAGGCAAUCCCCGGGCCUGCACUACGCUCAGCACGAGG